rnacentral:tRNA from 1 species
GAAGUAGUUCAGUGGUAGAACAUCACCUUGCCAAGGUGGGGGUCGCGGGUUCGAACCCCGUCUUCCG